ACGGCCGCGGCACUAAAACCGUGCAAAGGUAGCACAAUCACUUGUCCAUUAAAUGAGGACCCGUAUGAAAGGCAACAUGAGAGAAAACCUGUCUCCUAAGGCUAGCCAAUGAAAUUGUUCUACCAGCACAAAAACUGGUAUAUAAAAGCAAGACAAAAAGACCCUGUGGAACUUUUAACAAAUUAUUUAAACACGUAAACAACAGUUUCAGUUGGGACAACUUUAGAAAAAAUAAACUUCUUAAUUUACCAAGACAAACAAGUCUAAAACAACAGAGAUCCAGUAAUACUGAUUAACGAAACAAGCUACCCCAGGGAUAACAGCGCCACCUUCUCAAAGAGUCCAUAUCAACAAGAAGAUCUACGACCUCGAUGUUGGAUCAGGGUACCCAGACGGUGCAACAGCUGUCAAUGGUUCGUUUGUUCAACGAUUAAUACCCUACGUGAUCUGAGUUCAGA
rnacentral:rRNA from 1 species